CACGUAUUUAGCCGGGGCUUCUUAGUCAGGUACCGUCAUUUUCUUCCCUGCUGAUAGGGCUUUACAUACCGAAGUACUCCAUCGCCCACGCGGCGUCGCUGCAUCAGGGUUCCCCCAUUGUGCAAUAUCCCCCACUGCUGCCUCCCGUAGGAGUCUGGGCCGUGUCUCAGUCCCAAUGUGGCCGUCCACCCUCUCAGGCCGGCUACUGAUCGUCGCCUUGGUGGGCCGUUACCCCGCCAACAAGCUAAUCAGACGCGAGCCCAUCCUGCACCAUAUUACUUUCCACACCGCCCCAUGCGGGGCUGUGCGCCUAUGCGGUAUUAGCAGCCGUUUCCAGCUGUUGUCCCCCAGUGCAGGGCAGGUUGCUCACGCGUUACUCACCCGUCCGCCACUAGGCAGCGCCAAUUUCCGCUCCGAAAAGUUUCCAUCGGCGCGCCCCGUUCGACUUGCAUGUGUUAGGCACGCCGCCAGCGUUCAUCCUGAGCCAGGAUCAAACU
rnacentral:rRNA from 1 species